rnacentral:misc_RNA from 1 species
AAGCCUUUAUCCAAAAAAUUUGGGAUCAGUUAUAUGGAUUCUCUUUCUCAACUCUAAACGAUUUUAACUUAAAUCCUCGAAAAUGUGUAAUGUUUCUAGGUCAUAUUGUAUUACUCUCCCCCAAGUCAGUUUAGGCUUAUCCCUUCUUUUCUUUCUAUUCUUUGCCCUAAUGCGCUCUACUUGUCUAAUUAGAGUCUCCGUAUGUCUACGCUU